AUUGAACGCUGGCGGAAUGCUUUACACAUGCAAGUCGAACGGUAGAGGGGGCAACCCCUCGAGAGUGGCGAACGGGUGAGUAAUAUAUCGGAACGUGCCCAGUCGUGGGGGAUAACGUAGCGAAAGUUACGCUAAUACCGCAUACGAUCUAAGGAUGAAAGCGGGGGAUCGCAAGACCUCGCGCGAUUGGAGCGGCCGAUAUCAGAUUAGGUAGUUGGUGGGGAAAAGGCUCACCAGGCCAACAAUCUGUAGCUGGUUCGAGAGGACGACCAGCCACACUGGAACUGAGACACGGUCCAGACUCCUACGGGAGGCAGCAGUGGGGAAUCUUGGACAAUGGACGCAAGUCUGAUCCAGCCAUUCCGCGUGCAGGAUGAAGGCCCUCGGGUUGUAAACUGCUUUUGUACGGAACGAAAAGGUCUCUCUUAAUACGGGGGACUCAUGACGGUACCGUAAGAAUAAGCACCGGCUAACUACGUGCCAGCAGCCGCCGUAA
rnacentral:rRNA from 1 species